CAGGAGGACCCUCAGGGAGGUGAGCGUUGC
rnacentral:piRNA from 1 species